rnacentral:rRNA from 1 species
CCUACGGGUGGCAGCAGUGAGGAAUAUUGGUCAAUGGGCGCGAGCCUGAACCAGCCAAGUAGCGUGAAGGAGGACUGCCCUACGGGUGGUAAACUUCUUGUAUAAAGGAAUAAAGUGAGGCACGUGUGCCUUUUUGUAUGUACUUUAUGAAUAAGGAUCGGAUAACGCCGUGCCAGCAGCCGCGGUAAUACGGAGGAGCCGAGCGUUACCCGGAUUUAUUGGGUUGAAAGGGAGCGUAGAUGGGGUGUUAAGUCAGUUGUGAAAGUUUGCGGCGCAACCGUAAAAUUGCAAUUGCUACUGGCUGUCUUGAGUACAGUUGAGGUAUGCGGUAUUCGUGGUGUAGCGGUGA